UCCGAUAUGGUGUAGUGGUUAACAUCGUCCGCUUUCAACUAAGAGCUUCUGCUCUUAAGAUGGUCCGGACAGCCCCGGGUUCGAUUCCCGGUAUCGGAA